GCAAUGCCAUUCAUUCGCUUGAAUCGACAUUCCAGCUAGCUAGUUUUAUCUACUUCGCUAGACUAGCUAACGAGUCCAUUCGCUAGAUAGAUUUCUACUUUGGGUAGCUAAGUUAGCUAGUCAAGUACUUUACUUAACCAGUUGUUCAGGUAAUUUGUUGGCUAGAUUAUAUUUUUUAUUAUGCAAAGUUAGGGAUACUCGAAGGGUUGCUAGUUGGCUAAUUUGUACAGGUGUGUCUUAACAGGGAGGUCAGUAAAGUAGCUGAGCUUUUAACUGUUAGCUGGUAAAUUGCCAAGUGCCUUAGUUAGCUAAGAAUGUACUUCAUUAUGUAUAUUAAUCUGUUUAGCGAUGAGCCAGAAGGUCAUUUUAGAAUAUCUUUUUGAUCGGCCUGCUCAGAGGCUAUCCAUCAAAUUCUUUUAAGUCAACGCGCUGUGCGAGGCAUGAGUGGACUGACUUCCGAAAUGACGUUACUUGGCUACAUUGAGAUAUUGUUGGAAGAUAAGUCUUUAUUUGGUUUUAAAGGCUGCGUCGAAUCCUGCAGCGGUUUGCUGCAUGGGCAUCGAGUAUACCAACGAAGUAGCCAGAUGUGUAUAUUUUAAGUGCUGUGCAUUCGGUAAGCAUUUAUUCACCCAUGCUUGAACGAGUUUUCUCAGUUUAGUUGGGCAGUUAUUACAUACGCCAUUUCGUUCCCUUUUUUAACGCAAGAUGCCAUUUUGGCGUCUGAGGGCGGAAGUGUCAGCAGUUGUCAAUCAGCUACUGCAACCAUAUAUAUUGUUUUAUCCAACGCAACAUUUCUAGCGUUCUGUCACUUUCGGUCAUUUUUUAAAAAUUAUGACUAUGUAAAUGUUUGGAGUGGACUCAUUCCUUGCACAGUUAUAGCAGAUACGAAUUUGCACUGUAAUUGGCUUCAUUUAAUUGUGCAUUUAAUAGUUCUAUUUUUCCCAAAAAUAUUUAUUCUUUGAAAUUGUGCUGCAUUUGUAGUGACGCAUGAACCUAGUAUAAUUCAGAGCAAGCCUAACCUGUAUCUGUAAUAUGCUAUUGGAGGAAAAGCGAAUUUGCUCGUGGAACUUUAGUCGACGGUAGGAAGAUUUUCGAUAAAUUCUGUUAAUUGUAUGGGGGUUAGCGCAUAAAACUGAUACUAGGCUAUGUAAUGGAGAACACUAGCAUGUUGUCCAUGUAGAUAGCGUGGUUUGAUGUACACGUGCAAAUGAGUGCAUUUUGAAAUGACAUGCACAGUGGUCGCCAUUUAGCUGAAACUUCCACAGCCGGUUAACAUGGAGCAGAGUGGAAAAUUACCAAAAUCAAGCGGGUGUGUCGGGGGCGGGCCUGAGGUCGAGCAAGUCGGGGCGUAGUAGAAUCUGCGCAGUCUUGCUUCGAACUGGGCGUUACAUCACGGAGGACACGCUCGGCUGAAAGAAGAGGACUAUUCUGUUAAACCUAGGGCGGGGUGCGGCUCUUGGCUCAAACACCCUUUAAGCCCACACCACGUGGUUUCAUCGCAGACAAUGGUUGGCCAGUCGGCUGGGUGUGUGUAGGUAUACCUUAGCCGAAUAGUUGGCAGGCAUGUGGUUGGUACCAAGGGGUUGGCAAUAUGAAUCUUCUGACAGAUAUGACCAAUCGACGCAAUGUAGGCACAACGUAACCCCCGAAAGUGAAUAGGAGGGAUGAAAUUUGGCGUGGCAGGCUUAGAGUAUGGUGGCAGGGCCAGCUUUAGGUUCUCAACCUCAGCACCGGAUGUAAUGUCGCCCCCUGCUGAUAUCUGAUUGUCGCUCAAAAACCAAGUUUUCCUAUUGGGCUCCAUUCAUUUUUGACUUUUUUUUGCCCUGAACUGUGCCUGCCAGGCUGCCGCCUCUGCUACAUUCUCACCCAAGCUCUCUUGGGUCAACUAAGACCCCAGCUUAUGCAGACAAGACCAGCAAUUCCAAGCCAUUGCGAAUGCUGUGCUAUAACUAGUAAUGUAAAGGUUAACUGACGAGCUAGCCAACAAAUUCCAUUUAUCUAGAACAACAAACUCAUGAUUCCACACAGAUACACUGACAUCACUUAAUGUUACCCUUGGCUCUAUAACAAUUAGCAGGUACAUUACUGUUGUCAUUUUCCUUUGGGAACUGAAUGUGCUAGCUGGCUAGCUACCUGGUUGAUCUGUUGGUAAUUUAAUUAAUAUCAGCAUGUAAAUUGCUGGCUUGUUAGCUGUAUCGCUGCCUAGUACUAGCAGGGCUGUUGAGUAUUUUUAGUUGGCUAGCUUGUCAGUUAUCUUUUCAAUUUGUAUUGGUCUACUUUGCUGUCUAGCUAGCUAGGCAGGUGUACCUCUUAUUGAAAAAUUAGUGUGCCAUGUUGCCGGUUAGCAUCCUAGUAGGUGCAGUUUAGGGCAAAGUUCUGUAGGCGAGAUGGUCACACGCGAUGUCAAUAUGGCAUUCACCUCCAAUUGGUUUAAAAUGUCACAUGGGUGGUUAUGUCGGGUGUGUCUUGUCAUUUGAAUGAGUGGUUGAACGUCUUUUUUUUUUUUUUUUUUUUUUUUUUUUUU